UUUUACGCUAUCAUAGACAUCUUUCGCUUUUGUCAUCUGUCAGUGUCAGUCAGUCAAUCGUUUAGUUUGAAAAAUAAUUUUAAAUCAUAAAUAAAUUAAGAUUUAACAGUUAUUUAUAUAUUAUUAUUACUGUGGAUAAGUGCAGUGUUUGUGUGGAGGUACCUAACUAUUAGUGUUGCUUGAUAUUAUUGAUAAUAAUUAUGUUUUAUAAAACUUGUGAAAUAUGUGUUAAGAGCCGCAAGCCGGUCGUAUAGAUGGCCAAAAGAGAAUUUUCAUGGCCAAAUUUCCACUGGAUGAGGAAAGAUGUAAACAGUGGGUUAAGAUGACCGGUAAGGAGGAUCUGGUUUAUGUGCCUAUUGAAAAACUACAUCAACUUAAACGAAUUUGUGGCAAUCAUUUUCUACCACAACAUUUUAAGAACACAAUUGAAAAAAAAAAAACAAUUCCAUGUGUGGGACUUACUGCAGACACUUUAUUUUAUAAUAAAUAAAUAUAAUUAUAUUUUUC